UACGUAGGGGGCAAGCGUUGUCCGGAAUUAUUGGGCGUAAAGAGCGCGUAGGCGGUCCGAUAAGUCGGCUGUGAAAGUCCAGGGCUCAACCCUGGAAAGCCGGCCGAUACUGUCGGACUAGAGUCCGGAAGAGGCGAGUGGAAUUCCCGGUGUAGCGGUGAAAUGCGCAGAUAUCGGGAGGAACACCAAUGGCGAAGGCAGCUCGCUGGGACGGUACUGACGCUGAGGCGCGAAAGCUAGGGGAGCAAACGGG
rnacentral:rRNA from 1 species